rnacentral:rRNA from 1 species
UAAGACGGAGGGGGCUAGCGUUGUUCGGAAUGACUGGGCGUAAAGGGCGCGUAGGCGGUAUUUUAAGUGAGGCGUGAAAGCCCCGGGCUUAACCCGGGAGGUGCGUUUCAUACUGGAAUGCUAGAGUGCGAGAGAGGAAAGUGGAAUUCCUAGUGUAGAGGUGAAAUUCGUAGAUAUUAGGAAGAACACCAGAGGCGAAGGCGGCUUUCUGGCUCGCAACUGACGCUGAGGCGCGAAAGCGUGGGGAGCAAACAGGAUUAGAUACCCUGGUAGUCCACGCUGUAAACGAUGAGUGCUAGACGUUGGAGGAUUCUUCAGUGUCGCAGCUAACGCAAUAAGCACUCCGCCUGGGGAGUACGGUCGCAAGAUUA